rnacentral:rRNA from 1 species
AUGGAGAUGCCGCCGCUCCCUCCUGGAUACCGCUUCCACCCAACCGACGUCGAGCUCACCCUCUACUAUCUCAAGAGGAAGCUGCUGGGAAAAAAGCUGCUCUGCAACGCUGUUGCAGAAGUUGAUAUCUACAAGCACGCCCCCUGGGAUCUCCCAGCGAAAUCGUCUAUGCCGACCGGGGAUCUCCAGUGGUACUUCUUUUGCACCCGUGGCAGAAAGUACUCUGUUGGCCAAAGAGCUAACCGUUCAACCGAAGGUGGGUACUGGAAGGCUACUGGAAAGGACAGGCAGGUGGUGUAUGAAAAUCGCACUGUUGGGAUGAAGAGGACCCUGGUGUUUCACGCUGGCAAGGCGCCCAAGGGUACAAGAACCGACUGGGUCAUGUAUGAAUAUAGGCUCGUCCAAGGUGAAAUACCUGACGCUGGUGUUAGACUGGAUGAUUCCGUUCUCUGCAAAGUCCAUAAGAAGAGCGGUCCAGGUCCCAAGAUUGGGGAACAAUACGGCGCCCCAUUUGAGGAAGAGGAAGAGGAAUUGAAUGAUAAGAAUGGGGACACUUCCUGUUUAUCCCCGUCCGCGCCCCCUGCUGCGCCCCAUUCCGCCCCUGGACCAAGUCACGGUGGCAUGUUGAACUCCGCGGGUCAACAACUGGCCGCCGCUAGUCACAGCGGUGGGGAUUCCUUGUCUGUUUCGCCAGCAAAUAACAGCAACACCAGUGGUGCCCGUCCUGACAGGGCCUCUCGUCUGGAUGUUAACUGGGACAGCAUACAUGUAGAGCAGCUAGCUGAUAUCAUCGGUCGUCUUUCGACAAAUCCUGCAGGCCAAGAUGGACAAUCGUCUGAUUUGACGACCGCUAACCAGGACACCGAAGCAGUGUUUGAUGACAGCGAAACAAUAUUUGAAAUAACGGACCAGGUUGUCCCUUCCUCACUGUGUAGCAGCCUUUGCAAGCAGUGUGACAAGUGUGGCGUGCGGCUGGUUGACCCUUUGCUGGAACCGGCGGCGGGAGAGCCGUACAUGGAGCUGAAUGACCUGCUGUCACAGUGCCGUGCUGCCGGGCAUGCUCCAGAUGGCAGCAGCAGCCAGGCGGUGGUGGUGUCGAAUGGUGAGGGCCCUGCGCUGGAUCUGGAGCUGAGGCUUGGGGUCGAGUCUUCUGAAAGCGUUGGCCAUAGUAGCGGUGCCGUGUCUGCGGCGGCUUCUGGAUCAGGGGCGCCGUCUAGCUAG